AGUCCGUUUUGUGGGCAUUGGCGAAAUAAACCCUUGUAUCGUUCCAAUGCCUCUAAGUAGCAUUCUGAGUCUAGUUGUUGAAAAGUUGUAAUCUCAUCUCUUAGUUU
rnacentral:snoRNA from 1 species